GUGGGGGGAGGGGCAGAGAGAGAGGGAGACACAGAAUCUGAAGAAGGCUCCAGGCUCUGAGCUGUCAGCCCAGAGCCCGACACAGGGCUCAAGCCCACGAAUCGUGAGAUCAACCUGAACUGAAGUCAGAUGCUGUACCAACUGAGCCACCCAGGAGGCAAGCAGAGUGGGUGUUGUUUCUUCAUUGUGCAGAAGAGGAAAGUGAGGCCCGGCGAGAAGGACUGUUGGACUGUCGGGCUCAGGGCUCCUAAAUGCAAAAUCAUGUCAAGAAUCCCAGUGUCCUCUCCCUGACCAUUGAUUUCCCCCCAGUGACAUUUUAAUAGAAUUGCAAGGCCCAGUGUUGUUAAUGGGCGAGCAGACCUCCUGCCAUCCACCUCUGCAAUUUUCUUCCUUCUCAUCUCUGCCCACCUUUCUGUGCUGACUCCAAUACACAUCCUGAAUCCUGGCCUUCCUUUGUGCAGUCCAUUCUUCUCUGAUACAUGAUAUUCUGUCCCUUUAAUACUGUUCACAAAGUGCUUUCUUCAUUUCUUUUUCACUAAUAAACGAUAAGGAAGCUA